rnacentral:rRNA from 1 species
GACGAACGCUGGCGGCGUGCCUAAUACAUGCAAGUUGAGCGCUGAAGGUUGGUACUUGUACCGACUGGAUGAGCAGCGAACGGGUGAGUAACGCGUGGGGAAUCUGCCUUUGAGCGGGGGACAACAUUUGGAAACGAAUGCUAAUACCGCAUAAAAACUUUAAACACAAGUUUUAAGUUUGAAAGAUGCAAUUGCAUCACUCAAAGAUGAUCCCGCGUUGUAUUAGCUAGUUGGUGAGGUAAAGGCUCAUCAAGGCGAUGAUACAUAGCCGACCUGAGAGGGUGAUCGGCCACAUUGGGACUGAGACACGGCCCAAACUCCUACGGGAGGCAGCAGUAGGGAAUCUUCGGCAAUGGACGAAAGUCUGACCGAGCAACGCCGCGUGAGUGAAGAAGGUUGUCGGAUCGUAAAACUCUGUUGGUAGAGAAGAACGUUGGUGAGAGUGGAAAGCUCAUCAAGUGACGGUAACUACCCAGAAAGGGACGGCUAACUACGUG